UCCGUAGGUGAACCUGCGGGAAGGAUCAUUGUCGAAACCUGCAAAGCAGAACGACCCGCGAACCCGUUUAAACGCGGGCGGGUGCUCUUGCCACCUCGGUGGAGCCGCGCGGGCGGGGGUGCUAAGCCGCCCUCGUGGCGCCGCCGGGGUGCUCGGCCCUUAGGAGCGCGUGUCUCCCCCCGUUCCGACUCGUCGGGCGGAUGUGAUUAACGAACGAACCCCGGCGCGGAAAGCGCCAAGGAAUACUGAACCGAAGCCGGCCCGGCCCCGUCCGCGGGCGCUUGGGAGUCCGCUGCUUCUAAGUAAAACCCGAAGGACUCAAACGACUCUCGGCAACGGAUAUCUCGGCUCUCGCAUCGAUGAAGAACGUAGCGAAAUGCGAUACUUGGUGUAAUUGCAGAAUCCCGUGAACCAUCGAGUCUUUGAACGCAAGUUACGCCCGAAGCCAUAGCCCGAGGGCACGUCUGCCUGGGCGUCACACCCCCCGUCGCGUCGCCCUGACCAAUCGUUCGUUCCGUGUAAGUCGUGGGUCGGAUGCUGGCCUCCCGUGCGCCCGUGCGCCCUUAGCUCGCGUAGGCCUAAAUGCGAGUCCGUGUUAACGGGUCGUCCAAGGUAAGUAAUGGUGGUUGAAAUUCAACUCUCGUUGUGUGUCGUGCUCUAGCGCUUAGCGCCCCUGUCAGAACGAAUCCCUAGGUCAUGGCGGGAUUACCCGCUGAGUUUAAGCA
rnacentral:rRNA from 1 species